rnacentral:rRNA from 1 species
UACGUAGGCAGCAAGCGUUGUUCGGAAUUACUGGGCGUAAAGAGUGUGUAGGCGGUGCUCUAAGUUCGGUGUGAAAUCUCCCGGCUUAACUGGGAGCCUGCAUCCAAAACUGGAGAGCUUGGGUACUGGAGGGGAAAGCGGAAUUCCUGGUGUAGCGGUGAAAUGCGUAGAUAUCAGGAGGAACACCGGUGGCGAAGGCGGCUUUCUGGACAGUUACCGACGCUGAGGCACGAAAGCUAGGGGAGCAAACAGG